rnacentral:snoRNA from 1 species
AUUGAGGUCUAUUCCAAUGGGGCUUUUUCUGUAGACCUACAUUUUUGGAAACACCUCAUAGAGUACAUGCAUGGUUUCUUUUAUUCACAUUUCCUAUGUGUUAGAUCUGUGAGAAAGAAUUACAAGACAUCU